CCCAAGGGAAGAUUUUAAAAAGGUAAGGGAGUUCCUCAUGUGGUGCACUGGGAUCGGCAGCCUUUCUGCAGCGUCAGGAUGCAGGUUUAGAUCCCCCACCGGGCACAGUGGGUUCAAAGGAUCCAGUAGGAGCACUUCUGAGUUGUUCGCCUUCAGGGGAGAACCUCUGACCCUUCAUAAAGACCCACAAGCCUUUCCGCUGCUGUCUAUCUGGACUUCAUCACUGCAGAAAGAGAUUGGGACCACUUCUGGUGACUGACUUUUAGACCUUCUGAUUCUCCUUUCUGCCUUUUGUUUCCUGAAGACUGCAGUUAAUUAACGUGGAAUUGAGGGAGUCGUCAUCCCAAAGCAAAAUGAACUUGUGAGAAUUCUUACCAGGACAGUAAUGAACAAAGAUAUCUACCUUGAACGUAAACCACCAUGAGCCUGGCCUGGCCUUGAAAGAAGAUGAGAAACUUCAUCUGACAGAACACCUUUGAAUUACUGUAGGAGAGUCGCCCGAGUUUGUCUCUCUGGUCAAUUUCCUGAUGCAAGAAAGCUACAGCUGUUAGUUUGGGAAUAAGUUGAUUUUCGUCUUUAGGAAUAUGACUGAUAAAAGAAUAAUUUACUAUUAAAAUUAGCCCCAACUACUCUUGACUCCAUUAAAUACCUACCAUAAAAUGGUGAAGAAAAACCAUUAAAGAUGAUAUGUUUACAUGUUACACUAUGUUCUUAAGUAUUUAAGGUCUACUGGUCUACUGAGAGAGAGAUUGAUUGAUUCGGACAGACUGAUUAUCAAGUCACAUAAAGAAGGAAGUAUGGGCAAGAGAUUGGAGCUAAUGUGUUCAUAAUUUGAAGUAGCACUAAUAACCCCAGGUAUUAAUACCAAAUUUGUUAUAAAACCUCACAUAUCAGCCCUUAUCUUGUUAAGGUUUACAUCUGCCUCUGACGAAGGCAAUGAUCUAAAAGGCCCUCUGGAGUCUUUGGACUUAUCUCCUCAAAGCUAAUUUGUAUCUAGCGCACCUUCACACUCUGCACACAGCAUCUGGUUGUCCCAAGCAGUAUUCUCUUCAAUCCAUCUCUGGCAACAGCAGAAAAAUAUGUCCUUGGCUUUUAAACUCAGGGAGACUCGUGUGGAGAAAUUCUGUUUAA